rnacentral:rRNA from 1 species
ACGAACGCUGGCGGCGUGCUUAACACAUGCAAGUCGAACGGUGAAGCGCCUUCCUUUUUGGUGGGUGUGGAUGAGUGGCGAACGGGUGAGUAACACGUGAGUAACCUGCCCCCUUCUUCUGGAUAACCGCAUGAAAGUGUGGCUAAUACGGGAUAUUCUGGGUCUGUCGCAUGAUGGGUCUGGGAAAGAUAUUGUUUCGGUGGGGGAUGGGCUCGCGGCCUAUCAGCUUGUUGGUGGGGUGAUGGCCUACCAAGGCGGUGACGGGUAGCCGGCCUGAGAGGGUGGACGGUCACGCUGGGACUGAGACACGGCCCCGACUCCUACGGGAGGCAGCAGUGGGGACUAUUGCACGCUGGGCGCGAGCCUGAUGCAGCGACGCCGCGUGAGGGAUGGAGGCCUUCGGGUUGUGAACCUCUUUCGCCAGUGAAGCAGGCCUGCCUCGUUUGUGGGUGGGUUGACGGUAGCUGGAUAAGAAGCGCCGGCUAACUACGUG